rnacentral:lncRNA from 1 species
AUCAACACAUAUAUAAAAGUAUUAAACAAAUUUUAAAAUAAUAAGUCAUACACAUACAAACUUAAUUAAAAUUAAAUUAAAAUAAAAGGGACAAUUUAUAAAUUCUUGAAAUUAAAUUGAGGACUAAUGCGCAAUGCACGCAAAUGCCAAGGGACUAAAGCUGGAAAUAAUCCAGAUUCCAAAACGCAGUGUUGGUGCGCAGACCAAAUUGCAAAUACGCACAAAUUACAAAGCCAAAUUCAAAAAAUGAAGUAAAAUGCAUAAGGCGCAAUUACAGACUUGUCCGAAAGGGAAGGACCUAAUGUGAAAUUAUCCCCUCUCCGUAGAAACGCGCAGAUCCUAGAGGCGAUCGGGUCGGAUCGAUGUGGGUCGGCUUAAAACGGCUUCGUUUUGGGGCCAUUGACAUAGGCCCUAAACGGUGCCAUUUUAUACACAUAAUUAACACUAAAAAAACUAAAAUUAACACACUCAGCCCUUUAGAAACGAAGAUAAGAAAAUCAAAUACCUUUCCCUUUCACCUUGCAGCCGAACCCUAAUUUCCCCUUCGCUCCAACACCGAUCGGCCACCACAACCAGCGACCUGUAUAUUCUAGGCUCGAAAGGGUGGUUUUUAGCCUCGAGAUUCCCUUUAGGCUUCGAUUUCAACGAAGUGAAAAGGAAUCGAUGGCCAAUUCGCGAGGUAAGGUCUUCCUUUUUCUUUUAUGUUUUUCUUUCUUUUCAAAUGCAACGAUGAAACACCUCAAGAAAUAAACCGAAAGGAAAAAAAACUCAAGAAGUUUAAAUCUAAAAUCACCUUUUUCAAUUUUUGUUUGAUUUCUUUCAAUAUGCGUGUGUAUUUCUGGAAAAAAGAAGAUCCAAUUUACAUCGUUUCAUUCGGUUUUUAUAGCCGAAGAAUCAAUAAAAAUAAAAGGGAAAAAAUAAAUAAAAAAAUCCUUGUUGUAAUCUGUUAUUAUUUGCUGUCAAUUAUUGUUUACUAUUUUCUGUUAUUCUCUUCUCGUACGUGUGGAGGUCGUGGUGCUGUUGACAUGGCCAGGCCGUUCGUAGGCGUGUCGAUGCGGAGCGUGAAGCAACGUCGCGCGUGGAAGCUGGCAUGAAGGCAGCAGCGGUGUAAGGGGGAAAGGGAACCCUAGGGUUCUGAAAAUAUUAAACUUCGGGCCUGGGCUAGUUUUUUUUUGUUAUUGGGCCAUUUAAUUUGUAUUUUGGGCCUUGUUAUUUUGAAUUUUGGGCUUGGAUAUUAUUAUGGACAUUGGACUUUAAUUUUGGUAUUUUUUUAGUUUAUUUUGGUUUUUGUAUGGGCCUGGGCAAAAAUGGGCCAUUACACUUCUAGCCCUAAAAUCUAGGGUGUUACAGCUACACCAAUCCUGUCUUCCACAUUUUUUAUCUUUUAGUCCCAAAAUCAAGCUAUGUCAUUUUGUUUUCAUCUUUAAUAAAUUAUUUACACUUAUAUCUUCCCUUUCAUUUGCAUUUAUACCUUACAUAUUUAAUGUCAAUUAUGCACUUUAUUUUAAUCUUUUCUAUUUAUUCACACUUGUAUAAUUUUUACUUAUUCUUAUUUCGUUUUUAUUUAUUUUCAUGUCUAUUUAUAUUUAUUUUUUUACACAUUCCCCUUACAUACAUUUUAAUAUUAUUUAUUUAUGUUACUCUGAUUCUUUUAUUGUAUUAUGAAAAAGGUGUAUUAUUGUUAUUAUUAUCAUCAUCAUGUUAAGGUCUUAUUUAUUUCAUUUAUUUAAUAUUUCUUUUUAUUAUUGCCAUUUUGAAAGAGUUUUAACUUUUCAUUAACUUUAGCCAAUUUAAUUAUUAUCCUAUUUUAUUACUAUUCAUUUUAAAAGAGGGAACUUUAAGUCAUUUUUUCAUCCUAUAAUUGUUGACGUGAAGUUAGUUAAGUAGGUGUUACAUUUUAAUGAAACUAUAAGGAUUUUACAUUUGGAUUUAAGUUAGUCCUUAAGAUCUUAUCUACCAUUUACCCUAGAAAAAUUAUAAAUAAUAUGUUGGAUUUUUUUAAGGUUUUAAACUAAUUUUAAAUAUCGUAUAGGAUUCCUUUUUAGAAUGUUAAAUUAAUAUGUAAAUAUUCU